UGUCCAGUAGCACCUUAGAGACCAACUAAGUUUGUUCUUGGUAUAAGCUUUCGUGUGCAUGCAUAGACACAAAAGCUUAUACCAAGAACAAACGUAGUUGGUCUCUAAGGUGCUACUGGACA